rnacentral:rRNA from 1 species
GGACGAACGCUGGCGGCGUGCUUAACACAUGCAAGUCGAACGGUGAAGCACCUUCCUUUUGGUGGGUGUGGAUGAGUGGCGAACGGGUGAGUAACACGUGAGUAACCUGCCCCCUUCUUCUGGAUAACCGCAUGAAAGUGUGGCUAAUACGGGAUAUUCUGYGCCUGCUGCAUGGUGGGUGUGGGAAAGAUAUUGUUUCGGUGGGGGAUGGGCUCGCGGCCUAUCAGCUUGUUGGUGGGGUGAUGGCCUACCAAGGCGGUGACGGGUAGCCGGCCUGAGAGGGUGGACGGUCACACUGGGACUGAGACACGGCCCAGACUCCUACGGGAGGCAGCAGUGGGGAAUAUUGCACAAUGGGCGCAAGCCUGAUGCAGCGACGCCGCGUGAGGGAUGGAGGCCUUCGGGUUGUAAACCUCUUUCGCCAGUGAAGCAGGCCUGUCCCUUGUGGGUGGGUUGACGGUAGCUGGAUAAGAAGCGCCGGCUAACUAC